AUGUGGCCAGUAGCUCCUUCCUUAAUUACUGCUUCUUCUCAAGUUACAGCACCGGAAGAAUUACGCAGCGGUGCUGCCCGGCUGACGCUGGCUGCUCCAUGCAAGAAGCACGUCCUUUGCACGUGGUCGAAGCCGUGUCAGAGCAGCCGCGCAGGGGCUGCCUGGGCUGAUACACACAAUCCUUUCAUUGUGUCCAGCCAGUCUGGGGAAGGCUUCUGCGUUUUGUGUCAUCGGUCAAAACGUCAGCAUGGUUAUUUUGCCCACAGAGCAGCCCCCGAGCCGUACCUUGGAAGCAAGGUUUCAAACAUCUGGCUCCCUUCUUGCGACACGCUUAUCUCAUGCCGGUCUCCGAGGCUGAUGCUGGCUGUGUUGUUUCAGGAGUUCAGGCCCAACCGUUGCCUUUCAGAAGCUGACGACUCUGCCAACUGCCCGCCGCCUGCAACUCCUGCUUGCUGGCCUGGGGGCCUGGUCGUCGGCACGGGAAUAUUUCCAGGAUUGUUCCAAGCGGGGAAAAACCAGCCAGCUCCCACGCGAGCUGGGGAUGCUGGGAGGGAGGAGACUGAUGGAUGCUGCUGCAUGAUGGGCUGCCAGAAGCCACCUCUGACAACUCCUUCAUGCAAGCGCCUGGUUAUCGUGGUUUCGAUCUACUAAUCCUAUUUCGAAGCGAAUAAUUCAAGGGCCUCCUGUUCCUCUGCCCACCGCCUGCCAGGUAAGUGGGUUCCCAGAAGGCCGAUAAGAUGGGCCUGGGGGAGGUCUUGCCACCUCUGUGCCACAACAUCGCCUGAGGCUGUGACUC
rnacentral:lncRNA from 1 species